rnacentral:rRNA from 1 species
UCAUGGCUCAGAGUGAACGCUGGCGGCAGGCCUAAUACAUGCAAGUCGAACGGCAGCACAGCAGAGCUUGCUCUGUGGGUGGCGAGUGGCGGACGGGUGAGGAAGUACGUGGGAAUCUGCCCAGUCGUGGGGGAUAACGUAGGGAAACUUACGCUAAUACCGCAUGCGCCCUUCAGGGGAAAGCCGGGGACCUUCGGGCCUGGCGCGAUUGGAUGAGCCCACGUCGGAUUAGCUAGUUGGCGGGGUAAAGGCCCACCAAGGCGACGAUCCGUAGCUGGUCUGAGAGGAUGAUCAGCCACACUGGAACUGAGACACGGUCCAGACUCCUACGGGAGGCAGCAGUAGGGAAUAUUGGACAAUGGGCGCAAGCCUGAUCCAGCCAUGCCGCGUGAGUGAAGAAGGCCCUCGGGUUGUAAAGCUCUUUUGUCCGGAAAGAAAAGCGCCGGGUUAAUACCCUGGUGUCCUGACGGUACCGGAAGAAUAAGCACCGGCUAACUUCGUG